rnacentral:rRNA from 1 species
AGACCGAUAGCGAACAAGUACCGUGAGGGAAAGAUGAAAAGCACUUUGGAAAGAGAGUCAAACAGAACGUGAAAUUGCUGAAAGGGAAGCGUUUGAAGUUAGUCUGAUAGGAGUUGUUCAAUUGUUACUUUGGUUUCAAUGUAUGCAACUUUUUAUCGGUCAACAUCAAUUUUGAUUGAUGGAUAAAGGUAAUAGGAAUGUGGCUACAAUUUGUAGUGUUAUAGCCUAUUAUCAUAAACAUUGAUUGAGAUUGAGGACGGCAGUGUACCUUUUAGGAAGGUGUUCGCACCUAUUACACUAAGGAUGUUGACAAAAUAGCUUUAAGCGACCCGUCUUGAAACACGGACCAAG